CUUUAUUUGAAUGAUCUGAUGAGCUAACUCUAGGGUUCAAUGUUUUUAAAAAAAGCAACACUUUGCCAGUGAAGUAUACCAGUGAGGUCCCUGUGCCUUUAAGACUCAGAAUUAUUUGGGCUAAAGCCAGAUACCAUCUGCAUUUCACUGUUUCAGUCCCGGGAGACGCUCCGCGGAUACAAUCUUUCUACAGAGCGAAGUCUGAAUGGGGGCCGGAGGGAGAACGAGGAUGGACAGGACGUCCCAGAAAGCCAUCGGCGGCAGGGCCAUGCCUCGCACCUGACCUGCACAGCAGGUGGCCCAGAGCUCAAGUCAAGCAGCCGCCAGUCCCGAGUCCCGCCCUUUGAGAGGGCGCAGGCCCGGACAACGCUGGCUCAAAUACGUGAUAAACACCGCUCGUCGACUAUACACUCAACAACCAAAAUAAGUCUCUGUAUGGACUGAAAUAGAAAUGCAAGUAUAUUGAGUGCUGAAAAUAAAGCAAGAUGUUUCUGUUGGAGUGGAUCAAUGGAAGGAAGAACUCUCCUUUAAAAGAUCUCUUGAACAUAGAUGGAGGAAUGAUGAGUCGUGUUUAAUUAUUUAAGUAUGGAAUUCACCCAAAAGGGCACUUGAUGCUUCUGGUUUAUUGGGAGAUACUGGAUGUGAAAGACAGCAAAAUCCCGGUGAGCAUGUGCAGGAAACCCAAAGCUCAGCAACUAACCCUUCUCUGCUUCACGAACCUUAGUGCUGAGUCCAGGUCGCUUCUCCAAUGUCCUCUCACGCUGGCCUUGGUGAUGUUAUAAUAAAGAGAGCAUAGGAUUUUACCAAAUGUAGAGGGCUCCUGCGAUUCAUCUCUUUGACUUCUUCUGAGGCUGCAUGGACCUUUGCUUCCGGACACUUCUAGCGGCUGAGUGAGGUUUCAGAGAGCCAUGAAGGUGUACAGCUGAAAAGGCAUCUUGCAGAAGAACUGGAAAGGCCAGAUGAAGAAAAGUGUGUGGAAAGUAAACAAUGCAGUGAUCGGAGGCGUGUGUGCACUUUCCUUGGACUUUAGAUGGAAGAGGGUCAACAUGCACUUUGUUUCCGUCUGUGUGAUUGACUCGCUCUAUGCCAUGCUUGCUAACUGAGACCUUCCUUCAGCUCUUCAGCUGAGCUGUGAGUGGCUUUGAGGGUUGGGAGGUCUCCCACUGAGGGGUCAGGGGUCAGGUCCUGUAUACUUUUUGAAGAGCAGGGGCAUUUGAGCAAAACAAAACUGGAGUUAAUCCCUGCUUUCCUAUUAGAAAAGUUGUGUUCUUUCUCUAUGCCUGUUUCCCCAUCUGUUAAAAAGUGAUAAUGGUAAUACAACUUAGUGAGGCUGUUGUGAAGAAUAAAUAAGAAAUUUGACAUAAAGAGCAAGCUGACAUUUACUAAGUUCUCAAUAAAUGUUGAUAAAUAUCUAAUUGAUCCACUACAACUCACAUAGGCUAGGAGUUUUUGUCUUUGCCUAAACAUUCUCGUGGCUUUUAUGCAAGCUUUUCUUUGUCCUGGUCUCCAAGUGGCAUGCUAACGGCAACUUUUACUGGCUCGCAAGAGCCGAUUAUUAAAUUUUUAGGAAUUUUGAGCUCUGGUUGUUAAAAACUGCCAAUAUUUAAAAAUAGAUGAAAAGAAACAUAUAAUUAAAUAAUUAUAUUUAAAACAAAGUUGAUAAAUACUCAAAACUCAUCACUUCCUAAUUAGUUCACUGGAUUUUACUAUUAUCUAUACUCUUGAGGUUAUUUAUGUCUAUUUUUAUCUGUGUGGUGAAAACAUGUGCCUCGCUUCCAAACUUGUGUUCAGUGACAUCCCUCUUGUGGCUUGAAAAGAGCCAAGUGGCUUGAAAACAGACAUCCCUCUAAGUGGCUUUUGUAGACCAUUGCUCCACAGAAAUACGCGAAUACUAAAUUCAAGAUUUUUCCCAAAGAGCCAAUUAUUAAACACUUAUCAUAAUUUCGUGUUUAUUAAUUCUACACAUGGAAAAAUCGGAUUAAUUUUAUGUGAGAAUGUACAAAAAUUUAUUCUGAUAAGCUUUUUAUGCUGUGCAGGAGCCAACUCUAAAUGAGUCAAAUAAACUACAUAUCCUAGUGUAAUUCCUUCAUGAAUUAAAAAAGUGAAAACAACAAAAUUUCCAUUUUUAGUGAAAAUGAAAUUUCUGUAAAACAUGCCACUUAAUAAACUUCUAAAUGAAUGUGCAUUCAUCAAACAUUUUGAUUUUAACUGGCUAUUUUUGAAGUAUCUGAAAGUUUACCUAUUCUUGAUUUGGGGAAAUUACUGAAAAUCAUAAAAUUAUUAUUUGUCUCCAAGUAUGUAGAGAUAUAGUUUUAAAUAAAAAUAUUAAUAUGUAACUGUGCAUCAAUGCUGCUUUGUUUUUAAAAUAAAAAGUCAUUCAACCCGGUGCCUGGCACAGAUUGGAAAUGAAGUGAAAUAGAGGAAAGAGCAUGAGAUUUACAUGUGGAAGAUUUGGGUUCAAGUCCUGCUCAUCGUUUGUGUGCUGUGACCUCCAGGCAGCAGUCAGCUAACCAUCGGUAACGUUAGUGUGUCAUGGGUAUGUUAACAUCCAUGGGGUGUUUGGCAUUCGGUAUGUUUGGCAUAUAUGAGGGAGUUUGGCAUACAGUAGAUUUUCCCAUACAUGCUAAUCUACUGUGAUGUCGUUAAUAUUUAUGGAUUAAAUAAAUCGAGAUCAACUGAUUACUUAAAAGCCUCAGUAUAUGCAAGGGAAGAAAUUCAGAAGACCACACUUUUUGGGGAGCAAUUCAUGUCCUAAUUUUGUCUGAAUAAAAACAUGUGUCCCAG
rnacentral:lncRNA from 1 species